rnacentral:rRNA from 1 species
GACGAACGCUGGCGGCGUGCCUAAAACAUGCAAGUCGAACGGGGUCCAUCCUUCGGGAGAAGACCUAGUGGCGAACGGGUGAGUAACACGUGAGAAACCUGCCUCGAAGUCUGGGAUAAGCCAGGGAAACUUGGUCUAAUACCGGAUACCUUCACAACUUCUUCUGUUGAUGUGAAGAAAGUUUUUCGCUUCGAGAGGGUCUCGCGUCCUAUCAGCUUGUUGGUGGGGUAACGGCCUACCAAGGCUUCGACGGGUAGCUGGUCUGAGAGGAUGAUCAGCCACACUGGGACUGAGACACGGCCCAGACUCCUACGGGAGGCAGCAGUUAGGAAUCUUGCGCAAUGGGCGAAAGCCUGACGCAGCAACGCCGCGUGAGGGAUGAAUGCUUUCGGGUUGUAAACCUCUUUCAGUAGGAACGAAAUUGACGGUACCUACAGAAGAAGCUCCGGCCAACUACGUGCCAGCAGCCGCAGUAAG